CCCUUCGAUGUUCGGAGCUGCACGCGCGCUACACUGUGGGUGGCAGCAUGUUAGCUUGCCUCGCUCGCAAGAGUGGGGUAAUCGUUUGAAAAUCCCACGUGAUUGGGAUAGGGACUUGUAAUUAUUUCCCUUGAACGAGGAAUCCCUAGUAAGUGCAGGUCAUCAGCUUGCGCUGAUUACGUCCCUGCCCUUUGUACACACCGCCCGUCGCUCCUACCGAUUGAAUGGUCCGGUGAAGCGUUCGGACCGUGGCCUUUGGACGGUUCGCCGUCUGUUGGCUGCGGGAAGUUCGUUAAACCUUAUCAUUUAGAGGAAGGAGAAGUCGUANCA
rnacentral:rRNA from 1 species